rnacentral:rRNA from 1 species
GUGGGGAAUAUUGGACAAUGGGCGCAAGCCUGAUCCAGCCAUGCCGCGUGAGUGAUGAAGGCCCUAGGGUUGUAAAGCUCUUUCAGUGGGGACGAUAAUGACGGUACCCACAGAAGAAGCCCCGGCUAACUUCGUGCCAGCAGCCGCGGUAAUACGAAGGGGGCUAGCGUUGUUCGGAUUUACUGGGCGUAAAGCGCACGUAGGCGGAUCGUUAAGUCGAGGGUGAAAUCCUGGAGCUCAACUCCAGAACUGCCUUCGAUACUGGCGAUCUUGAGUCCGGAAGAGGUGAGUGGAACUCCUAGUGUAGAGGUGGAAUUCGUAGAUAUUAGGAAGAACACCAGUGGCGAAGGCGGCUCACUGGUCCGGUACUGACGCUGAGGCGCGAAAGCGUGGGGAGCAAACAGGAUUAGAUACCCGAGUAGUCC